GCGCUCGUAGCUCAAUUGGAUAGAGCAUCGGACUUCGAAUCCGCAGGUUGCAGGUUCAACCCCUGCCGAGCGCACCA
rnacentral:tRNA from 1 species